rnacentral:lncRNA from 1 species
AUUCACGAUUCAAGAGUUCAUAACUGGAAUUUAUCAAAUUAUAUUGCACACAUAAUCAUGGCUUUGAAAUCAUCCCUAGCCAAGAGGGAUUUAGCCACUCAUAUUUACAACAAAAUGAAACGAAAUGAAUUUAAACAUUAGAAACAAAAGAAAGAAAACACCUAAACGCUCCAACAAUCCAAGUUGGACAGCAAGCACGUCCAAGCACUUUCCUUCCCUUCCUUUGUUACGGCACAAGGUGUUGGUGAGUGUUUGAAGGUUUGUUUAUAUGGAAGAAUGGAUGUGAAGAUGAAUGGAUGUGUUUGGAUGAAGGUUGUGUUGAAAUGGGAGUGAAUGAUCUAACCAAGUAUGAACUCAAUUUAUGUUACACACACUUCCUUUUAUAGAGGAAGUGUAUGGUAAUGGAGGGGAACAUGGAGUGGUGUAGCAAUUGAGUGUAAUGAUGCAUGAAAUCUGAAAUGAUGGAGGGAACAAGGAAUGGUGUAGCAAUUGAGUGCAAUGAUUCAAUGUAAUGAUGCAUGAAAUCUGAAAUAAUGAAUGGGACAAGGGUGAUGAUGCAUAGCAUGGGUGGAAAGGUGAGUAAGUGGUGAAUCAAUGAGUGCAAUGAGGUGAAAAGAUAUUGUGCACAUGGUAGACAAAGGAAAAGAAGUGGAAUGAUGCAACAAAUGAGUCAAUGGAGGGAACAUAAAUGAUGAUGCAUGGCAUAGGAAUUCAAAGGGAGUGCAAUGGUGGUGCACGGCAAUGAUGGAAAGGUGAAUGGUGGAGUGACACCCCUUUGCGGCUGAGCUCUUUAUUCUUUUUACACUAAUUCUUCUUUCUAUUUAACACAUUCCUAGCCUCUUUAGUCUUCAAUUUCGUCCAUCCACCUUGCUCCAUGCAUGUGCUAUCCAUUCCAAGCCCAAAACUGCUCCAAAAUGCACCAAAAUGCAUCUUAUUGCUUUAUAAGGCCUAUGGACCUACAAACACAGGAAAAUAGCUUAAAAUACAUAAUUAACUAAGAAAUAACAACAUAAAUGCAUGAGAACAAGCUAACUCAGUCGCAUAAAUAUGCUUCUAUCAAAUUCCCCCACACUUAGCUUUUGCUAGUCCUCGAGCAAAAAAAAAGAAACAAAACGAAACAAAACGAAACAAAACAAAACAAAACAAACAAAACACAACCUAGACCUACCAACAUUUGUGUCAGGGAUUUUUAAUGAAACAUGACAUGUUAAAAAUCAUCAUUCCUAUAAAUUUUGGUCAUCUUUACACUUGACCACAUACUUAAUCACAGUUACCACUUACUAGUUCACAAUUAACCAAUUAAAACGAUGUUUUGAAUGUAGUAACAUGCCUUAGAGAAUUUGCUCAAUUUCUUACAAGAUACUCUCUAUCUUCACAUACAUUUUUUUACUACACACCCUACACUAGUAUAUGUGAGAAGAUUAAUGUAAACACGAAGGACUAGGACUCACAUAUGUUAUAACAAAGAAAGCAAUUUUCUGGAGUUAUUAAGCAUGUUUAGAUAUGAUCUCAGGAAUGGAAUGCUACUACUUAGAUGCGAGAACUAGUGACACCAUAUGCUCAUACCAAUUUCGAACUCCACAAAUUGAAACACACAACACUCAAGAUUGAAGUCAAGGGUUGCAACAGGGCUUGGGGGUAAUGGCUAAUAAAGAAAGGAUAGGAAUAACAAACGUUCUUAAAGCGAUAACAAGCAAAGCAAUGAAAUGGACACUUGGAAUUCACUUUAGAAUGUAGAAUCAACUUUUAAAUACAAAGGGAAGAUUCAUGCAACACCUAGGGCUGAAUUCAAUGUUUUUGACCCUUUUUUAACGAACUUUUUCCUUUUCACUCUUUUUUUUUUCUACCCGUGCCUUAUUAAGGACUUAGCACCCACAAACACACAAGAAUCACUUCCCCCACACUUGCUUUCUGCAAUACAUUGAUAAAAAAGGAGUUCAUUUUAAGUCAUGCUUUACUAUGCUUCAAGAACAAGGGUAUGGAUGGUCCUAAAACUAGGCUAGGUAAGGAUAGUGUGGAUUAACAAAGAACAUAGGCUUAAUAAGGCUCAACGGGGUUAAACUUAAACACAUAAUGAAAUAGGGGCACGGCAAUUUGGCUUUGGUGGUCACUACACAACUUCAUCUUGAAUAUGUGUUAUGCAAAUCAAUAGCAUGCUUUGAAUGAAAUAGGCAUGAGUUCUAGCAUUUGGAACUAAAUGAUAAAACGCCUUCUAAGUAGCAACCAAGCAAAGAAUAAUGAGAUCAUGCAACGACUUUAGAAAACAAUGAUGCACAGAUUAUUAACUUUCCAAAUAAACGUUUAGGCUCAAGUCUCACAAGGUUGUAGCGUUCAUUUGAGUUCCUUCAUUCAAGCAUCUUACAAAAACUUAUUUUUCCUUUAUGAUUGCAUGUGAAUUCAUAAAUUAUAACCACAACCAAGCAUACACCAAAGAGUAAAUCAAAUUUUCAUCCAUGUUUAUAACUCUCUUUAACAGUCAUGUAAUUAAAAACCAAAUCCUCAUCAUUGUGUUGGAAGGUACCCUAAGACACAAAUAAACACACAAAAACAACUCUUUUUGGGUUUUCCAAAACAAUUUUUCAAAUUUUUAUGAUAUUUUCGGAUUUUUAUGUCAAAACACACUAAAACACUCCAAAACAGCUUAAAAACACUUAACAACAGCAAGAAACAACACUAGAAGUAAUGGGUGAUAAACUCCUACGAAUUUCAUGCAAAACAACUUGGUUACCCUCCAUACUUAAAUCAAACAUUGUCCUUAAUGUUUCAAGCACAAACUCACACAAAAACAAGUAAACAAACAAACAACGAAUAAACAUGACAAGUAUGGCAAAGUAAAAACCAGACAGAGUAGAGUCUAAGAACACAAAUCUGGUUUUGGAGAUAGAUGAUCUUGUUGACUUUCCACAGCUUUGAUCUCGAACUGGUUUGGAAUUCUGAGCGAGGAAUAUCAUAGUUCCUUGGUUUCAAAUCAGACUUCUUCUGCUGGGUUGAUUUGAUUGUGCAGUCUGCAUUUUUCUCUGCUUGUUUCUUCUGCACAGCAGGCAGGCACAAGGUAGAGGUGAUGGUCUGUUUCUUUCUUCAAUCUUUCCAAGUACCCACCAUUUGCUUUCUUUCUCCUUGUCUUUAGCUGAGGAUGAAUUAGCACAUUGUCUCCACAUGCUUCGAGGUAUCAUUUUCACAUCCUUUAUCUGUUCCCCAGGCAGAUGUGGUAGACGAAGAGGAAGCAUAAGAUGUUGAAGAUGAGUACUCGAGAGCAAGGCUAGGUAAGCAAUCAGGAAGGGGUUUCAGGCAGUCAGUUCUAGAUCGAAAGAUUGAUACCAAGUGCUGGCUGAUUGCUCUCUUUCUCCUUGUCCCAUAGAUGAAAACAAUGACAAGGAGAAGGAUAGGGAUAAAGCAUGAUAUGAGAUACUCUUGCUUUCAACCUUCAUGAUAUGAAAUACUUUUACUUUGGAUGAGUUGUUUGCAGAGGUACCCCAAGGAAUAAGAAACACUGAGUGACUCGAAAGGCUUCGUUGGGAAGACAUUCUCGGAGAUGAAGAAAGGUUAUGUAUGUCUGCCUUGCAAUGGAGGGUGAA